rnacentral:rRNA from 1 species
AUUGAACGCUGGCGGUAUGCUUAACACAUGCAAGUCGAACGGCAGCAGCAGAGCUUGCUCUGGCUGGCGAGUGGCGGACGGGUGAGUAAUACAUAGGAAUCUAUCCAGUAGCUGGGGAUAACCCGGAGAAAUCCGGGCUAAUACCGAAUACGCACUACGGUGGAAAGAGGGGGAUCUUCGGACCUCUCACUACCGGGUGAGCCUAUGCCGGAUUAGCUGGUUGGUGGGGUAAUGGCCUACCAAGGCGACGAUCCGUAGCUGGUCUGAGAGGACGAUCAGCCACACUGGGACUGAGACACGGCCCAG